rnacentral:tRNA from 2 species
CAUUGUUGUUCUCAACUACAGGAAC